rnacentral:rRNA from 1 species
GGAAUAUUGGACAAUGGGCGCAAGCCUGAUCCAGCCAUGCCGCGUGCAGGAUGACGGUCCUAUGGAUUGUAAACUGCUUUUGUACAGGAAGAAACACUCCCUCGUGAGGGAGCUUGACGGUACUGUAAGAAUAAGGAUCGGCUAACUCCGUGCCAGCAGCCGCGGUAAUACGGAGGAUCCAAGCGUUAUCCGGAAUCAUUGGGUUUAAAGGGUCCGUAGGCGGUUUAAUAAGUCAGUGGUGAAAUCUGGUCGCUCAACGAUCAAACGGCCAUUGAUACUGUUAGACUUGAAUUACAAGGAAGUAACUAGAAUAUGUAGUGUAGCGGUGAAAUGCUUAGAUAUUACAUGGAAUACCAAUUGCGAAGGCAGGUUACUACUUGUGGAUUGACGCUGAUGGACGAAAGCGUGGGUAGCGAACAGGAUUAGAUACCCUGGUAGUCCACGCCGUAAACGAUGGAUACUAGCUGUUGGGAGCAAUCUCAGUGGCUAAGCGAAAGUGAUAAGUAUCCCACCUGGGGAGUACGUUCGCAAGAAUGAAACUCAAAGGAAUUGACGG